UCGCGCAGCAGUAUCGAUUGGACAAGAAGGAAAAUCGAUAUCGUUGCGCA
rnacentral:pre_miRNA from 1 species